rnacentral:rRNA from 1 species
GUAGUCCACGCCUUAAACGAUGAAUACUAGACGUUGGGGUUAAACUCAGUGUCGCAGCUAACGCAUUAAGUAUUCCACCUGGGGAGUACGAUCGCAAGGUUGAAACUCAAAGGAAUUGACGGGGGCCCGCACAAGCAGUGGAGCAUGUGGUUCAAUUCGAUGCAACGCGAAGAACCUUACCUAGGCUUGACAUAUAAGCUAAGGCCGAUGAAAGUCGGCGUUCCGCAAGGAGAGCUUAAACAGGUGCUGCAUGGCUGUCGUCAGCUCGUGCCGUGAGGUGUUGGGUUAAGUCCCGCAACGAGCGCAACCCUUGUCUUUAGUUGCUACCGGAUAAUGCCGGGCACUCUAAAGAGACUGCCUACGCAAGUAGUGA